rnacentral:rRNA from 1 species
AUUGAACGCUGGCGGAAUGCUUUACACAUGCAAGUCGAACGGUAGAGGGGGCAACCCCUCGAGAGUGGCGAACGGGUGAGUAAUAUAUCGGAACGUGCCCAGUCGUGGGGGAUAACGUAGCGAAAGUUACGCUAAUACCGCAUACGAUCUAAGGAUGAAAGCGGGGGAUCGCAAGACCUCGCGCGAUUGGAGCGGCCGAUAUCAGAUUAGGUAGUUGGUGGGGUAAAGGCUCACCAAGCCAACGAUCUGUAGCUGGUCUGAGAGGACGACCAGCCACACUGGAACUGGGACACGGUCCAGACUCCUACGGGAGGCAGCAGUGGUGAAUUUUGGACAAUGGACGCAAGUCUGAUCCAGCCAUUCCGCGUGCAGGAUGAAGGCCCUCGGGUUGUAAACUGCUUUUGUACGGAACGAAAAGGUCUCUCUUAAUACGGGGGGCUCAUGACGGUACCGUAAGAAUAAGCACCGGCUAACUACGUGCAGCAGCCGCCGUAA